rnacentral:rRNA from 1 species
UGUAUAAGAGACAGCAGCGCCGCGGUAAUACGAAGGGUGCAAGCGUUAAUCGGAAUUACUGGGCGUAAAGCGUGCGUAGGCGGUUCGUACAGUCGGAUGUGAAAUUCCUGGGCUUAACCUGGGGGCUGCAUUCGAUACGUGCGGGCUUGAGUGUGGAAGAGGGUUGUGGAAUUCCCAGUGUAGAGGUGAAAUUCGUAGAUAUUGGGAAGAACACCGGUGGCGAAGGCGGCAACCUGGUCCAUGACUGACGCUGAGGCGCGAAAGCGUGGGGAGCAAACAGGAUUAGAUACCCGUGUAGUCCCUGUCUCUUAUACA